GGGCAGUGGCUAAGGCCAUUACCAUGCCAAUGACGGUGGUGGCCCACAACAAUAGGUGGGGGGUGGGAAGCCUUUGGCUUUCUGGCGGCGACAGAAUUGCCGCACGUAGCAUCUCGCAUGGCCAUGGGAAUAGCGGCAUGUGCCAUGACGGAGGGAGAAAGGGAUUUCGGGUUUGGAUCCUAACAGAUCCAGAUCCAAACCCAUUAAGGUUCCAACC
rnacentral:lncRNA from 1 species